rnacentral:rRNA from 1 species
UACGUAGGGACCGAGCGUUGUCCGGAUUCACUGGGCGUAAAGGGUGCGUAGGUGGUGGGGUAAGUCGGAUGUGAAAGCUCGGAGCUCAACUCCGAAAUGGCAUUGGAAACUACCCUGCUAGAGGAUUGGAGGGGGGACUGGAAUACUUGGUGUAGCAGUGAAAUGCGUAGAUAUCAAGUGGAACACCAGUGGCGAAGGCGAGUCCCUGGACAAUACCUGACACUGAGGCGCGAAAGCUAGGGGAGCAAACAGG